rnacentral:rRNA from 1 species
UCUCUCAGCGACGCCUCGAGCAGCGCGACGAGCACGGCCGUCGCACCGUAAAAAGGUGGCCGCGUCGUAGGCAACGUCGGAUGGGACCCACGCUUUUUUUUGGCUUCUUCUUUUCGGUCGGACGGGCGCUAUAUCGGCCAGCCGUCGUCACACGGAGGGUACCGAUCGAGAUUCCUCUCUUCCAAACACCACACUCUCAAAAAAAAUAACCGCCGCCCUCGGCUCGGACGAGACGACCCGCUGAACUUAAGCAUAUCGCUAAGCGGAGGAAAAGAAACCAACCGGGAUUCCCUUAGUAACGGCGAGUGAACCGGGAGAAGCCCAACGCCGAAUCCCGUCGCAAGUAAAAGGCUUCGGGACGUGUGGCGCAUGGGUCGAAGGCAGCCGUUCGUUUUCGUCUCGCAUAGUUCGGAGUUCCCUCGAUCGGGGCCGCCCGCGGCGGGUGCCAGGCCCAUUCGGUGCGGACGGCGAGCGACGGCCUUCGAUCCGAGAGUCGGGUUGCUUGGGAACGCAGCCCAAAUCGGGUGGUAAGCUCCAUCCAAGGCUAAAUACCGGGACGAGUCCGAUAGUCGACAAGUACCGUGAGGGAAAGUUGAAAAGAACUUUGGAGAGAGAGUUCAAGAGAACGUGAAACCGCCCAGGGGUAAACGGGUGGGACCGCUCACCGCGAUCGCGGGGGGACUCAGUCCGGUGCUGCCUAGGCUCGAGCCCAAACUCGAUGUGUUCUUGAAAGAGAGGCCGUCGCGGCACAGGUCGUCGUUCGUCGUGUYCGCGGGGACUCGUUCUCCGCGGGCCAGCUUUUGUGCCCGCGUCGCCGACGAAGGAGACGGGCCGCGUGGAUAGCGGGAAGGGAAACGUGGUGACGACCGCGGUGGCUGCGUCGUCGGUGGCUGCGACGGAGGGGACUCGUCCUCUCGAUCGCUGCUGCCGCGCGCGCCCGCCUGCCGCAUCCGUCGCCGCCGCUUCUUCUUUCCUCCUGCUCCCUCCGCGCGCGACUCCGCUGCACCCGUUUCCUUCUCAUCGCUCGGCGUAUCAUGGCGCGGGCGCUUCGGCGCGACCUCCGCGCGGCCGGCACCGGACGCACUUCCCCUCCGGUCCGUCGUCGCGACCCGUUCCCGGCGUGCAGGUCGAACACGCGGGUUUUUUUCCGUAGGCGGCAGGCGUUUCAUCUCCCUGAAAACCCCCGUUCUUCCCACCUUGUGAAGUCGGGGGCCACCGGCCGUCGGGCCCGCGAACGUAACUGCCCCUUUCUGCCGGGAACGGAGGAAAUCUGACACGAUCCGUUACACGUGGCGAGCCGGUCCGUUUUGACCCCGCCGGAAGUCGCGUGCGGGGGCGACGCACUCGUGUGUCGCUUCCCUCGGCGCCCCACCGUCUCGGGCGCGUGCGCGAUGAGAGGCGGGAUAGGACUGGCGCGGCCUCGCCGUCACGCACCUCGCCGACGUUUCGGGUUCUUGUCGGGGGCAACCCCGCCCGCGCCCGUUUCCGUUUCUGGAGAGGUCGCUCGGCGACGCUUUUUUACUCGAGCCGCCCGCCACCCCGGGUCAGCGACGUGCAUCGGCAACCCACCCGACCCGUCUUGAAACACGGACCGAGGAGUCCUGGCCGUUCGCGAGUCGUAGGGGCCACCUCUGACUAACCCCGAAGGCGAAGCGAAAGCGAGAGAGCGUGUAGGAGGGCGUCGAUCGGGAGAGGUGUCGUGGCGAAGUCGUCCGGGGGUCGUCGGGGGGUGUCGUCGGUCUCGUGCCGUCGUCUUCUCCUCGCCUCACCCGCCUCCGAGCCGUGCCCGAUCCCGCCGGCGCGGCGUUUUCGGCCUUCCGCCGUCGCUGCUGCGGUGCCCGCACUUUUCCUUUCUUCCGAGAGGGGAGAGGGAAGGCCCGUGGCUGGCGUGUGGUUGUUUUCCCUCCUCCCCGAGAGGGGACCGGCGCAUCAUCCAAAAAUGGGAAUUGCCGAGCGCCAGCUUCAUUAUCCUCCUUCCGCCCAUCGGUGAGAUCCCGCGGCUUGAACUAGUCCUAUUUUGUCGUCGAGUUUAGGCGCUGCGCGCGGGCGCAUCACCCCCGGGUCGGUUUCCCCUUUUUCCGAGUACGACUCGGCCGACUCUGGCGUAGCGAGCGACCAGGGACCCGAAAGAUGGCGAUCCACGCCCGGUCGGGAUGAAGCCAGAGGAAACUCUGGUGGAAGUCCGAAGCGCCUCUGACGUGCAAAUCGAUCGUCGGAACCGGGUGUAGGGGCGAAAGACCAAUCGAGCCGUCUAGUAGCUGGUUCCCUCCGAAGUUUCCCUCAGGAUAGCUGGCGCUCGAUCGUCGCAAUUCCAUCCGGUAAAGCGAACGAUUGGAGGCCCCGGGGCCGUUCACGGCCUCGACCUACUCUCGAACUCGGAACGGGUGGAACGGGCCGACUCUCCCGAACGACGGAGCCGACCCUCCGGCCGCCGCCCCAACUCUGGGCGGUUGGUCACCUCGAAUGCGAGUGCCAAGUGGGCCACUUUUGGUAAGCAGAA